AUGGCUGGAUUCGUUGAUGCACUGAGGCCGGAUAAGUUUACCGGUGUGCACUUUAAGAGGUGGCAGGUGAAGACCACGCUCUGGCUUACUGCUCUGAAAGUUUUCCACGCUAGUGUUGGUGCUCCAGAGGGAAUGACCGACGAAGAUCGGAGAAAAUUCCAGGAAGCCAAUACUAUGUUUGUGGGAUGCAUUCUGAGUGUUCUUGCUGACCGUCUGUGUGAUGUGUACAUGCACAUAAACGACGGAAAAAUUCUGUGGGAUGCACUGAAUGCAAAAUUCGGUGCAACAGAUGCAGGCAGUGAAUUGUACAUCAUGGAGAGUUUUCAUGACUACAAGAUGGUGAAUAAGCGUUCUGUUGUUGAACAAGCUCAUGAGAUACAGUGCAUUGUGAAGGAACUUGAACUCCUUAAAUGUGUUCUACCCGACAAAUUCGUGGCUGGGUGCAUGAUUGCAAAGUUGCCUCCUUCAUGGAGGAAUUUCGCCACAACUCUGAAGCAUAAGAGACAGGAGAUAUCAGUUGAAAAUCUGAUUGCAUCUCUUGAUGUUGAAGAAAAAGCUCGGGCUAAAGAUACCACUGAAAAAGGAGGUGAGGUUCAGCCUACUGCUAACAUGGUGCAGAGGUACCCACAGAACAAGAACAAAGGGAAGAACAAACCUGUUUUCAACAAACCUACCAAGACUACUACCUUCAAGAAGAAGAAGUUCAACAAGGCUGAGCUAGAGUGCUAUGUCGCAAGGGAUUCUUCCGUCCUAAUGGGGAAUGGGUCACAUGCUUCUGUUCGUGGCAUUGGCACGGUGGAUCUGAAGUUUACUUCGGGAAAGAUCGUGCAACUAAGGAACGUGCAACAUGUCCCUACUAUGAACAAGAAUCUAGUUAGCGGCUCCCUUCUAUGUCGAGAUGGAUUUAAGGUAGUUUUAGAGUCCAAUAAAGUAAUCGUGUCAAGAUUUGGACAAUUUAUAGGAAAAGGCUAUGAGUGCGGAGGCUUGUUCCGCUUUUCUCUUUCAGAUUUUUGCAAUAAGUCAAUAAACCAAAUUUGUGCUAAUGUUAAUGAUGAUGCAAGUAUUUGGCACUCUCGUUUAUGUCAUAUUAAUUUUGGUUUAAUGUCUCGGCUAUCCAGCAUGAGUUUAAUUCCAAACUUCACAGUUGCCAAAGGUUCUAAGUGCCAUAGUUGUGUGCAAUCUAAGCAACCUCGAAAGCCUCAUAAGGCUGCCGAGGAGAGAAACUUGGCACCUCUAGAACUCAUACAUUCUGAUCUUUGUGAGAUGAAUGGUGUGUUGACAAAAGGUGGAAAGAGAUAUUUCAUGACUUUGAUUGAUGAUGCGACUAGAUUUUGCUAUGUUUAUUUGUUGCAAACUAAAGAUGAAGCAUUAGACUACUUUAAAAUCUAUAAAGCUGAAGUUGAAAAUCAACUAGAGAGAAAGAUCAAGCGUCUUAGGUCCGAUCGUGGUGGAGAGUAUUUUCCAAAAGUUUUUGAUGAAUUUUGUGAGGAACAUGGUAUUAUUCAUGAGAGGACGCCUCCCUAUUCACCUCAAUCAAAUGGAGUGGCCGAGAGGAAAAACCGCACAUUGACUGACUUGGUGAAUGCCAUGUUAGACACUGCUGGUUUAUCUAAGGCAUGGUGGGGGGAGGCUCUAUUGACUUCAUGUCAUGUCCUGAAUAGAGUUCCCAACAAUAAUAAAGAGAAAACCCCUUAUGAGGAGUGGGUUGGGAGAAAACCAUCACUUUCUUAUUUGCGCACUUGGGGAUGUUUGGCAAAGGUCAAUAUUCCUAUUCCUAAGAAACGCAAACUUGGACCAAAGAUAGUGGAUUGUGUCUUUCUAGGGUAUGCUCAACGGAGCAUUGCUUAUAGGUUUUUAGUGGUAAAAUCUGAAGUACCUGAUAUGCAUGUUGAUACUAUAAUGGAAUCUCGUGAUGCAACAUUUUUUGAGAACAUAUUUCCUAUGAAAGAUAUGCAUAGCAUUGCUAGAUUUUCUUCUGAGAUAAUUCCUGAAUCUAGUACAACUGAUGAAUAUUUCGAACAAUCACAUGAGGAAGUCCUUGAGAAGGAUAACAAUGAAGUUCCUAGAAGGAACAAGAGACAAAGGAUUGCAAAAUCCUUUGGUGAUGAUUUCAUUGUAUACCUUGUGGACGACACACCCAAGACGAUUGCAGAAGCAUAUGCAUCUCCGGAUGUAGAUGAUUGGAAAGAAGCUGUUCAUAAUGAGAUGGACUCAAUUCUUUCUAAUGGAACUUGGGAACUAAUUGAUAGACCAUAUGGUUGUAAACCUGUGGGCUGUAAGUGGGUGUUCAAAAGGAAGCUAAAGCCUGAUGGUACUAUUGAUAAGUACAAGGCGCGGCUAGUGGCCAAGGGCUACACUCAGAAAGAAGGCGAAGAUUACUUUGACACCUAUUCACCCGUUGCUAGAAUGACCACCAUUCAAGUGUUACUUUCCUUGGCUGCCUCUUAUGGUCUUAUCAUUCAUCAAAUGGAUGUAAAGACAGCUUUUCUCAAUGGAGAGUUGGAAGAGGAGAUCUAUAUGGAUCAGCCUGACGGGUUUGUGGUAAAGGGUGAAGAGAGAAAGGUGUGCAAGUUGUUAAAAUCUUUGUAUGGUCUGAAACAGGCACCUAAGCAAUGGCAUGAGAAGUUUGAAAGAACUUUGACUUCUGCAGGAUUUGUCAUUAACGAGGCUGAUAGGUGUGUUUACUAUCGCCAUGGUGGGGGCAAUAGUGUCAUAUUAUGUUUGUAUGUGGACGACAUACUGAUCUUUGGUACAAACAUUAAUGCGAUUAAUGAGGUCAAGUCUUUUCUAUCAAAAAGUUUUGACAUGAAAGAUCUGGGAGAAGUCGAUGUAAUUCUAAACAUCAAACUUAUUAAGGAUGAGAGUGGGAUUACAUUAACACAAUCUCACUAUGUUGAGAAGGUCUUGAACCGAUUCGGUUUUAUGGAUAGCAAGCCUUCUCCAACACCUUAUGAUCCCAGCGUGACACUCAGAAAGAACAAGAAAGAAACGAGAGAUCAAUUAAGAUACUCUCAAAUUGUCGGUUCACUCAUGUACUUAGCUAGCGCUACAAGACCAGAUAUCUCUUUUGCUGUGAGCAAACUGAGUAGGUUCAUGUCCAACCCGGGUGAUGAUCAUUGGCAUGCACUAGAAAGGGUCUUGCGCUAUCUGAGAGGUACUAUGAGUUACGGAAUUACUUAUUCAGGGCAUCCUGCUGUGCUAGAAGGAUAUAGUGAUUCAAAUUGGAUCUCCGAUGUUGAUGUACUUUACGCAACAAGUGGGUAUGUAUUUACUCAUGGUGGUGGCGCAGUGUCAUGGAGGUCUUGCAAGCAAACCAUAUUGACGAGGUCAACUAUGGAAGCAGAAUUAACUGCUUUGGACACAGCUACUGUUGAGGCAGAAUGGUUGCGUGACCUCUUGAUGGACUUGCCGGUUGUUGAAAAACCUGUACCGGCUAUUCUUAUGAAUUGUGAUAACCAAACGGUUAUCGCUAAAGUGAACAAUUCUAAAGAUAAUGCAAAGUCAUCAAGACACGUGAAAAGACGUUUGAAGUCUGUCAGGAAGUUGAGAAACUCCGGAGUAAUAACUGUUACGUAUAUACAAACAGACAAAAACCUGGCAGAUCCCUUUACAAAGGGACUAUCACGAAAUGUGAUAGAUAUUGCAUCGAGGGAGAUGGGUAUGAGACCCAUA
rnacentral:rRNA from 1 species